rnacentral:tRNA from 1 species
UCUAGUGGCUCAGAGGAUAAAGCAUCUGCCUGCAAUGCGGGAGACCUGGGUUCGAUUCCUGGGUCUGGAA